AUGAACGCUGGCGGCGUGCCUAAUACAUGCAAGUCGCGCGAACAGACGAGGAGCUUGCUCCUCUGACGUUAGCGGCGGACGGGUGAGUAACACGUGGAUAACCUACCUAUAAGACUGGGAUAACUUCGGGAAACCGGAGCUAAUACCGGAUAAUAUAUUGAACCGCAUGGUUCAAUAGUGAAAGACGGUUUUGCUGUCACUUAUAGAUGGAUCCGCGCCGCAUUAGCUAGUUGGUAAGGUAACGGCUUACCAAGGCAACGAUGCGUAGCCGACCUGAGAGGGGGAUCGCCCACCCUGAACCUGAGACACGUCCCGGACUCCUAGGGAAGGCAGAGGAAGGGAAUCUACGGAAAUGGGGGAAAGCUUGACGAAGCAACGCGGCGUGGGUGAUGAGGGUCUUCGGAUGGUAAAACUCUGUUAUAGGGAAGAACAAAUGUGUAAGUAACUAUGCACGUCUUGACGGUACCUAAUCAGAAAGCCACGGCUAACUACGUG
rnacentral:rRNA from 1 species